rnacentral:lncRNA from 1 species
AUAGGAUCUUGAGCAAGGAUUUGACAGUGGGAAUGAAAAGAACGUAAAGUACUAGUUGGCUUGAAAACUAAUGAUACAAAUAAGGUGACUUAGCUCAAUCCUUUAAAAAGGAGAGCUUGAAGUCAAGAUUAAGAUGUUAUUAUUUUAUCUGGAAGAUGCAAGCCCACUAACGUAAGAAGGAAAAACAGAAGUGGGGCAAGGAAGUUGCAAAGCAAUUUAAUGCAUUGUGUUACAACACUGGUCACCAUUGCAUGAUGAGUCACUAAGAGAUGCCUCAGGUUGCUUAGCAGAUGUACUCACUCAACACAUAGAACUUCUCUGGAAGUGUGAUAAGAAUAAACCAAAUUUAGGAGAGAGAAAGAAGGAGAAAUUUGUCUUCCCAGAACCCUCUCGUCUCAAAUUACUUAUUGAUAAACAGCAUGGGGAGCUUUUACCUUUAUACUGUUACAUCAUCUGACUCCCUCAGUGCCACUCAGGAAGAGAGAUCCCUUGUACUCUAGAGUGUUAUUUCAUCCAAGUCCAAAAACGGAGGAGUGACCUGAUGUGACUGGGGACCUGACCAAAAGAGAGAAAGAAAAAAGUGGUCAAGAGAAUCCGAGAAGGCACAUACAGUCACAUGAGGAAAGGCCAAUUGGAAGCAAAUCAUCCAAACUAAACUAUUGAAAUGGUGAGGAUCCUUUACUUCUUCGUCUUCUUCUAAGUUGACAGGAUUCAUGUAGAGACAUGAACUGAAAACAGAGCCCCGGCAGUAUUCUCUGUUUGGAUGUGUAUCAGCCGAGUGCUGAAGAAGUCAUGAAUUUCCUUCUUGGGAAAUGUCUCUUGUCAUGAGAGUACAUCACGACGACAGGUACCAGCAAACAAUUUCUCUGCUGACUUUAUCCUGAGCAAUGUCUACCUCUCAGGUAGAAACCUUUGCUUCUGUUUGCAAGGCUAUAUCCUGAUAGGUUUUGUCAAGAUCUCAGCUUUGCUUUCAGAGCUAGAGAGAUAGAAAGAUAGGAUAGAUCUGUGUGGGGGUGUGUGUGUGUGUAUACUUCAAAU